rnacentral:rRNA from 1 species
GCCCGCUCAGAAACUCGAAAGGAAUUGACGGGGGCCCGCACAAGCGGAGGAACAUGUGGUUUAAUUCGAUGAUACGCGAGGAACCUUACCUGGGCUAGAACGCAUUCGGAAUCAGGCCGAAAGGCCUGCGCCAGCGAUGGCCGCUUGCGAGGUGCUGCAUGGUUGUCGUCAGCUCGUGCCGUGAGGUGUCGGGUUAAGUCCCAUAACGAGCGCAACCCCUACCUUUAGUUGCCAUCAGGUAAUGCUGGGGACUCUAAAGGAACUGCCUACGCAAGUAGUGAGGAAGGCGGGGAUGACGUCAAAUCAGCACGGCCCUUACGUCCAGGGCUACACACGUGCUACAAUGGCCGAUACAGAGGGCAGCUACCUGGUGACAGGAUGCAAAUCUCCAAAGUCGGUCUCAGUUCGGAUCGGAGUCUGCAACCCGACUCCGUGAAGUUGGAUUCGCUAGUAAUCGCGCAUCAGCCAUGGCGCGGUGAAUACGUUCCCGGGCCUU